CCGCGGUAAUACGGAGGGGGCAAGCGUUGUUCGGAAUUAUUGGGCGUAAAGGGCAUGUAGGCGGUUUGGUAAGUUAAAGGUGAAAUACCAGGGCUUAACCCUGGGGCUGCUUUUAAUACUGCAGGACUAGAGUCCGGAAGAGGAUAGCGGAAUUCCUAGUGUAGAGGUGAAAUUCGUAGAUAUUAGGAGGAACACCAGUGGCGAAGGCGGCUGUCUGGUCCGGUACUGACGCUGAGGUGCGAAAGCGUGGGGAGCAAACAGGAUU
rnacentral:rRNA from 1 species